rnacentral:rRNA from 1 species
GGAAUUUUCCGCAAUGGGCGAAAGCCUGACGGAGCAAUGCCGCGUGGGUGAUGAAGGUUUUCGGAUCGUAAAACUCUGUUGUGAGGGAAGAACAAGUACGAGAGGAAAUGCUCGUACCUUGACGGUACCUUGCGAGAAAGCCACGGCUAACUACGUGCCAGCAGCCGCGGUAAUACGUAGGUGGCAAGCGUUGUCCGGAAUUAUUGGGCGUAAAGCGCGCGCAGGCGGCCUUUUAAGUCUGAUGUGAAAGCCCCCGGCUCAACCGGGGAGGGUCAUUGGAAACUGGAAGGCUUGAGUACAGAAGAGAAGAGUGGAAUUCCAUGUGUAGCGGUGAAAUGCGUAGAGAUGUGGAGGAACACCAGUGGCGAAGGCGACUCUUUGGUCUGUAACUGACGCUGAGGCGCGAAAGCGUGGGGAGCAAACAGGAUUAGAUACCCGUG